UUUCCUUUUUUUUAUCAGAAUCUUCGUCGUGCUUCUCCCUCUCGCCCCCUCCCCGCCAAACCUCCUCCGCCUCCAACGCCCUCACUCCGCCUCCGCCACCUAUGAUGUUCCUGCUCCACCGCCUCUCCGUCUCCUAUUUUAAUGCAGCCCUAGGCCUCAAAGUUCAACCCGUGCUGCAAUCCAAUCUGUCCUCAAUCUCCUCCCCCAAUCUCCAGAUCUCUUAUUUCAAGUUUUUCCAAUCAUGUAUGGUUGAUGCAGAGGUGUAUGUGCUGCAAUCCAAUCUUUCCUCAAUCUCCUCCCCCAAUCUUUUAAAUCUCUUAUUUAAAAUUUUACAGUCCUGUAUGGUUGAUGCAGAUGCGGAGGUGUAUCCAUGAUAGUUUGAAGAAAGGAGGCCACAAUUGCAGCUUCAGGCUCCCGAGUUGAGGAUUUAUGUUGGACCGGCAACACGACAACUCACACUCCAUGCCUAUUUGAGUUAUAGGUCUUGGGGAGUGGAGGUAAACCAGCUAGGUGGUCUGCAUGCAUCGUCUAAAGUGGGACCUUGCUGUAAGCUUGUGUUAGACAUUUACACUACAUCUACAUCAAGCACCCAUGCAAGGGCCAGUUCACAUUGAUUAUUUAUAGGAAGCUUUACACAAGUGCCAUACCAUGCGACCCUUUGUUAGAAAACAGAUUAGUAGAUGAUUCCUACAGAGAGAAUUUUAUUGUAUGUUGUUUCUUCCAAGUAAAUGCUAAUUGUUAAAUUAUCUGUGUGGUAGCUUGGUACAUACAUUUAAUAUUUUUCUCUUCCUAGGAUUUAAAAACGUAUGCUGACAGAUGUUGAUCCGUCCAUUGUCACCUCUUUCAUGUGAUGUUACCGGUCGGCACAAUCAGUGCAGUGUUGCUAUUCUCUUGGCCGAGGUCUCUGUUGCCUCUUCCAUGUGCUGCCACCUCUCUCCACAGCCAGCCUAGGCCAAGGAUGGACAACGGCGUUGAAAGAGCACCUCACAGGUGUUUGUGUUAGACAAGAAUUUAAGUGCAGGCUAACCUCUCUCAAUGGAACAUUUUGAUCAUCCGUUCUGUAGUAACUGUAUUUUUUUUCGGAAAACAGUAAGUGUAAUUAGGUAUGUGAGAAUUAAUAGAUUUUGACAUUACAAAUCAGGUGCUUCAACCAAUUCGCUCGUGCGGCAAUUACUGCUGAGAGAUAACCUAUCUUUGCAUUGAAGCAGACAGAUGCUUUUUUCUUUUGCGGACAGAAGCAGACAGAGGCUCAGGUGGGCUCUUAGCUAUUUUCAUGUUAUAUAAUCUCCUACUGAAUAUUUGUUGUUUGCGUACAUAUCUUUUUUUAAUCAUGGCGUUUUAAGCGCUUAUAUAAGUACUCUGCAUUAGAGAUGGCCUAAUCAUAGUUGUACUAUUAGAAGGAAAUAGAUGAUACAGUAGUCAGUGUUGAGCAACACACCUGCAGUCAUCUGUAGCACCCUGCACCACCAACCAUAGGACUUUCAUCUCUAUGGUAUUCCAGUGGUGAAAUUUUGAGCAUAUACUCUUUAGUUAAUAAACUCAUCUCUGCAUAUGACAGAUUAACUAUAGAAAUAGAACUUAGUCUGGCAUGAUUUUGGUUCGGGUACAGAUAGAGCAACCAUACAUUGGUAAAUGCAUCUGAAAUUCUGAACCAAAGUUAUGCUUAAUUUGAAAGGAAAUCAAGUCGUGUUUGUUCUUCUUUAGUAAAAAUUAUUAUUUCCGAACUUUGAUUUCUAUUUUUGUUGAAGCUCUCCCCUAAUAACCUUUUUCUAGAAGCCUCAGUUAUGAUUUGUUUAACAAACCUGCAUCUUUCUGCGGCCAAAUUGUACUGCAGAAAUUAUGUUGUAAACAUGAUUUCUAAUAGCGUAUAAGCUUUUCUUGCUAGAUCUGUAUUAAGAUUUUCAAACUGUUGCCCAUCCAAAAAAUAAGCUAAACCUAUGGCAUACUUAGUUAUAUAUAUAGGUUCCUGUUUACAGUUCAUACAUUUAUUGUAUUGAAAAGGGAUCCAGAUGUACGUUAUAUAUGUAGGUUCCUAUUUACAAUACUCAUAUUAAAUUUUCCUGUAAAUAUAACCAUGGAAUCCAUACUUCCUAGGUUCAUUUCUGACAAUAUUCAUGAUCUUUCCUUUGGAGUUCUACUAUCUAGAUUUUAGAGAUGCUACAAAUAAAAACUAUGGUAAUGUAUUUUUGGCUAUGAUAUUGAGUGCCCUUUUAAUGAUUUCCUCAUUUAAAGUGGGGAGCUAUGUACAUUAAUAAUUAUCCAAAUAUUGUCAGCUAAAUAUGUUUUUACGAAAUUAGCAAAUGUACGUGUUUCAUUGUGCGCAACAGCAUAUUUAGAGAGUACAUGCAUGGCACUAUAUGUACGUCAAACAGUAUUGUAGAGUAGGAACUUUAAAAGAAACUUAUGUAAGCAAGUUUAAGAACUACCAUGCUCCUGUUAAGUAUAUUGCAAAUAUGAUGUAUAAUCCGUAUCUAGAAUUUUCAUAUGAUUUUAACUGCCUUCAGUUUCAGUAUGGCCACGUUAUGAGUCACAUUGUAACUGCAGCCACUAUUGCAAGUUUGACUUGAAUUUGGCUUCUGUAGGUAUGGAAUCGAUUCACCUCUCCAUAGGUUUCUACCUCUCUGAAUUCCUCUUCAUGUUGCCACAUAGUUACAUUCUUUUUUGUUUUGGGAAAAUUAAUUAUAGAUCCAUUGUUUCUUGUACAAUGCACAUGCUCUUCUAUUUGUUUUUAAACUGAUCCUUCCAUUGUUUCUUGCUAAUUUUGAAUUAUCCAGUCUUUUAUAUAUUCACUUGCAUAGAUGGUUUAAAGCAGAACCUAAACUGAUGAAUAUAAUAUAGCGCAUGUAUUGGGUCGUUUCUGUGAAGAAGAUUAAGCAAACCAAACUUUUACUUGAGCUCCAAAGAAGUUGCUGAAUGAUCUAGCUUUUUGGGGGUUUUACUAAGCUGAAACAAUGUAGCACAGUAACAACAAUAUUCUGAUUUCAUAACUUAAAUUUUAUAUUUUCGUACCACAUUUUCAUAACCGUGAUUUUGGAUGAUGGUGAAAUUAUUUCUUAUCUGAAUUCUGCACGCAUGUUUCCAGUCGAAACAAUAACUGAAUUGAUAAGUAUCCAACAAUUUCUGUCGUGCGGCAUUAGUAAAAUGUUGUAAGUUACUAUUUCAGAUAAGUAACCACUAUAUUAUUUUCUGUGUCAUUGACAUGUACACAUGUUGUUGCUCCGCCUGAACCAUCAAUCUCCGUGUUAUCAGCCCCAGGCUUCCAUCGCAACAAUCUAAAGGUUUGCUGCACACAAGCUCCUCUCACAAAUUGACUCCACUAAUUGUGACUGAGCGUGUGUGUGUGGCCGUAAUGCUGACCUUAUCCUGGCCCGAGUAUCAAUUCACUUAUGUGAUACGAUUGGAAGCUCUUUUCUUCUCGAUGUAUUGGUUUCUGCAGGUUCCAUUGGAUGCUUCCUUUGAGUGAUAACGAUGGCAUGCUGACCAGUUGCUCUAUCAACAUGGAGAACUGGCUCGACUAUAUUUCUUAUGUGUGUUAAUAAGUACUGCUGUGAUUAUUUUCUUUCUAGCAAUGGAAAUUUUCUAUGCAUUAGACUUUUUGAGACGCUGAGGUCUUUGACGAUUAAUUAUGCUUUGUGAGAUUUAUGCACUCGGUUCAGACAAACUAGGUAAUUCUCUGUUGAUCUCCUUAAUUUCUAACUGAAUAUAUGUAUAUAGUGAUAGUAAGUCCAUGCAUUAAAUAGUUUAUUAAUACUUAUGUUCAAAUCAGUGUUGGAGGCUCCCUGAUAGAUUAUUUUUUCAUAUAUGUACUAAUAAAAUAAUAAAUAUAUUGGUUCUGUAGUGUUUCCAGGUAGAAGAUGAUUUAAAGGUAGACACCCGAGCUGGUUACUGCAAUAACUGCCAAUUGCCAGACAUGAUUACAUUUACCAGACCAAGCAUUGUUUGGGUAGUAAAAUUAGCAUCGAGUGGUCAGGAGAAGAGGUCAUGGUCAACAAUGGUGCUCAAGGAAAUGGAUAUAUAUAUGGUUAUAAGGUUGUAGGAAACUAUAUAUGACCUCAGCAAGUUGUAAUUUCUAUUCCACAAUUAUCUAUGUUAAGAGUUUCAUUUAGCUCGACACUCGUGCUUUAUUCCUGGGACAACAUGCCCUUAAUGUACAUAUCAUGGUUUUAA